GAUGAACGCUGGCGGCGUGCCUAAUACAUGCAAGUCGAGCGAACGGGCGAGAAGCUUGCUUCUCUGAUGUUAGCGGCGGACGGGUGAGUAACACGUGGAUAACCUACCUAUAAGACUGGGAUAACUUCGGGAAACCGGAGCUAAUACCGGAUGAUAUUUUGAACCGCAUGGUUCAAAAGUGAAAGACGGUCUUGCUGUCACUUAUAGAUGGAUCCGCGCUGCAUUAGCUAGUUGGUAAGGUAACGGCUUACCAAGGCAACGAUGCAUAGCCGACCUGAGAGGGUGAUCGGCCACACUGGAACUGAGACACGGUCCAGACUCCUACGGGAGGCAGCAGUAGGGAAUCUUCCGCAAAGGGCGAAAGCCUGACGGAGCAACGCCGCGUGAGUGAUGAAGGUCUUCGGAUCGUAAAACUCUGUUAUUAGGGAAGAACAUAUGUGUAAGUAACUGUGCACAUCUUGACGGUACCUAAUCAGAAAGCCACGGCUAACUACGUG
rnacentral:rRNA from 1 species